rnacentral:rRNA from 1 species
AAUAUUGGACAAUGGGGGCAACCCUGAUCCAGCCAUGCCGCGUGUGUGAAGAAGGUCUUCGGCUUGUAAAGCUCUUUAAGUUGGGAGGAAGGGCUUUAGGUUAAUACACUGAAGUUUUGACGUUCCCAACAGAAUAAGCACCGGCUAACUCUGUGCAAGCAGCCGCGGUAAUACAGAGGCUGCAAGCGUUAAUCGGAAUUACUGGUCGUAAAGCGCGCGUAGGUGGUUCAGUAAGAUGGGUGUGAAAUCCCCGGGCUUAACCUGGGAACUGCUUUCAUAACUGCUGAGCUAGAGUACGGUAGAGGGUAGUGGGAUUUCCUGUGUAGCGGUGAAAUGCGUAGAUAUAGGAAGGAACACCAGUGGCGAAGGCGACUACCUGGACUGAUACUGACACUGAGGUGCGAAAGCGUGGGGAGCAAAC